rnacentral:rRNA from 1 species
AAAGAUUAAGCCAUGCAUGUAUAAGUAUAAACGCUUUCAGCGUGAAACCGCGAACGGCUCAUUACAACAGCUAUAAUUUACUUGAUCUUGACAAUCUACUUGGAUAACUGUGGUAAUUCUAGAGCUAAUACAUGCACCAAAGCUUCGCCCAGCGAUGGAGGAGCGCAUUUAUUAGAUCAAAACCAAACGGCUUCGGCCGUCCAUUGUUGACUCAGAAUAACUAAGCUGAUCGUACGGUCUUGCACCGACGACGUGUCUUUCAAGUAUCUGCCUUAUCAACUUUCGAUGGUAGUGUAUCUGACUACCAUGGUGAUGACGGGUAACGGAGGAUCAGGGUUCGACUCCGGAGAAGGGGCCUGAGAAAUGGCCACUACGUCUAAGGAUGGCAGCAGGCGCGCAAAUUACCCACUCUCAGAAUUUGGAGGAGGUAGUGACGAGAAAUAACGAGGCUGUUCUCUACAGAGGCCAGCCAUCGGAAUGGGUGCAAUUUAAAUCACUCAACGAGUAUCUAUGAGAGGGCAAGUCUGGUGCCAGCAGCCGCGGUAAUUCCAGCUCUCAAAAUGCAUAGAAUUAUUGCUGCGGUUAAAAAGCUCGUAGUUGGAUCUGUGCUGGUGUGCCGGUCUCGCCUUCGGGCGUGUACUGGUUCUCGCACUGGCUUUCCUGCAGUUUUCGGCUGGCUCUCCCUCACGGGUCUGCCUGUUCGGUGCUGCAAGUUUACUUUGAACAAAUCAGAGUGCUUCAAACGGGCGUCUCGCUCGAAUGUUCUUGCAUGGAAUAAUAGAAGAGGAUUUCGGUUCUAUUUUAUUGGUUUUAUAGACUGAGAUAAUGGUUAACAGAGACAAACGGGGGCAUUCGUAUUGCUACGUGAGAGGUGAAAUUCUUGGACCGUAGCAAGACGAACUACAGCGAAAGCAUUUGCCAAGAAUG